rnacentral:rRNA from 1 species
UACGGAGGGUCCAAGCGUUAUCCGGAAUCAUUGGGUUUAAAGGGUCCGUAGGCGGCUUUGUAAGUCAGUGGUGAAAGCCCAUCGCUCAACGGUGGAACGGCCAUUGAUACUGCAAGACUUGAAUUAUUGGGAAGUAACUAGAAUAUGUAGUGUAGCGGUGAAAUGCUUAGAGAUUACAUGGAAUACCAAUUGCGAAGGCAGGUUACUACUAAUGGAUUGACGCUGAUGGACGAAAGCGUGGGUAGCGAACAGG